UAAAGUGGCGAACGGCUGAGUAACACGUGGGCAACCUGCCCUUUGCACUGGGAUAGCCUCGGGAAACCGAGGUUAAUACCGGAUACUCCAUAUUUGUCGCAUGGCGAAUAUGGGAAAAGCUCCGGCGGCAAAGGAUGGGCCCGCGGCCUGUUAGCUAGUUGGUGGGGUAGUGGCCUACCAAGGCAAUGAUGGGUAGCCGGGUUGAGAGACCGACCGGCCAGAUUGGGACUGAGACACGGCCCAGACUCCUACGGGAGGCAGCAGCC
rnacentral:rRNA from 1 species